AAUGAAGCGUUCCGAAGGUGCACUGCUGUUCCACUGGAAUCAACAUUUAUGUCCCAACUGGACAGGUACACUCCAAAACUCCUGGAGCUCUUCAGUGCAAAAGGAGGAGUGACUGCAGCGCAUCAAGAACUUGUUGAUGGAACUGACACAGGACCCAAGUGCCUCUGCAGUGAAGAAGAGAGAUGUGACUGUGAGAUGCCUCAUAGAGUACAUGGGAGAGAGUGGACAGGAGCUAAUCUCUGACUACUGGAACUGCAGAGACCACUGUUCAUGAGGACCUGGAAAUGAAGAAUAUGAGCAUCUACAUCUGUCGUGAGCCAAAUGCAGUAGGAAUCAUCAUUGAGGGAGUACCAGUCCUUACUCAUCUUGGAAACCUGGCCAAAGCAUGCUGCCUACUUCUGGGGUUGGCGUAUGCACUUAAUCUUGAGUAUCCAUCCAAACUUACCAAAACAUUUGAGGUGUUUCAAAGACUUUUUGUGGGACUUGACACACUGCGCCCAAAACCAACCCCCAAAUUCAUGACUCUCAAAAACAAGCUUCUAGCUUAGGCAGUGAGCCAUGACUGUCAGCUUGCACUUUUGAACAGCUAUUUUCUUGUGUCUGUUCAAAAUCAUUAUACAUUGUUCAUUGAGUGGAAUUCUUCAGAAUGUUGUAAGGGUUUGUCCUGUUCAGGUUUUAUACAAAGCUCCAGGUCAUCGUUUCUGGUGUGUAAAUUAAGUUUUUUUUAUGUUUUAUACACACUAAAUUGCCCCACUGUGAAGCUCCAGCUGGUCAGAAGGAGGGAUCUGUGAGUUUUUUAAGUUCAAAUGUUUCAAAAUAUACACACUGAAAGACACUACAGUGAAGGUGUUCUGCUUGUGAAUUGUUACAGAAGUACAGAUAAUCUUAAUAUUAAAUUGUUUUAGCAAGAAACUAUACUGUGAAUGUUCUAAGUAAAACUUGAGAUGCUGAGGUCAUGCAUUCUUUUAUGCACUAAAUACUGAUGUUCUUGACUGUUAAUACUGUCCAGCUUAUUGACAGGUUUGGAUAUGGCUUGUGAAAAUGUUUUAAUAUGUAUACGGUUAGAAAAAGAAAACUACUGUGAAGGUGUUCUAUACAGCACUUUAAAAAGUUGAGGUCAUGCAUUCUUGUAUAAUAUGGAUGUUGACUGUUCAUACUGUCCAGCUCAUUGCCACUGUUUUUAUAUGGUAAUGAUUUAAUAAAGGUUGGAAUUUGA